ensembl:lncRNA novel transcript, antisense to NCK2
UGCCUCAAAUGGAAAAGAGCAGCAGGUUUGGUUGCUGGCAGGGGACAAAGGUGGACUCAGGCAGGAGGUGGAAAGCGAAGUAAAUGAACUCUGGGGUGGUGUCUCCCAACUCUCACUUCCAGCUCUCCUGUGUUUGUAGACUCUGUGUUCCUAAACAAGGGAAAAUACAGCCACAACCUCCAAAGGAC